GACGAACGCUGGCGGCGUGCUUAACACAUGCAAGUCGAACGGAAAGGCCCUGCUUUUGUGGGGUGCUCGAGUGGCGAACGGGUGAGUAACACGUGAGUAACCUGCCCUUGACUUUGGGAUAACUUCAGGAAACUGGGGCUAAUACCGGAUAGGAUCUCCUGCUGCAUGGUGGGGGUUGGAAAGUUUCGGCGGUUGGGGAUGGACUCGCGGCUUAUCAGCUUGUUGGUGGGGUAGUGGCUUACCAAGGCUUUGACGGGUAGCCGGCCUGGGAGGGUGACCGGCCACAUUGGGACUGAGAUACGGACCAGACUCCUACGGGCGGCAGCAGUGGGGAAUAUUGCGCAAUGGGCGGAAGCCUGAUGCAGCAACGCCGCGUGCGGGAUGACGGCCUUCGGGUUGUAAACCGCUUUCGCCUGUGACGAAGCGUGAGUGACGGUAAUGGGUAAAGAAGCACCGGCUAACUACGUG
rnacentral:rRNA from 1 species